rnacentral:rRNA from 1 species
CCUACGGGAUGCAGCAGUAGGGAAUCUUCCACAAUGGGCGAAAGCCUGAUGGAGCACCGCCGCGUGGGUGCAGAAGGUCUUCGGAUCGUAAAACCCUGUUGUUAGAGAAGAAAGUGCGUGAGAGUAACUGUUCACGUUUCGACGGUAUCUAACCAGAAAGCCACGGCUAACUACGUGCCAGCAGCCGCGGUAAUACGUAGGUGGCAAGCGUUAUCCGGAUUUAUUGGGCGUAAAGGGAACGCGGGCGGUCUUUUAAGUCUGAUGUGAAAGCCUUCGGCUUAACCGGAGUAGUGCAUUGGAAACUGGGUGACGUGAGUGCAGAAGAGGAGAGUGGAACUCCAUGUGUAGCGGUGAAAUGCGUAGAUAUAUGGAAGAACACCAGUGGCGAAAGCGGCUCUCUGGUCUGUAACUGACGCUGAGGUUCGAAAGCGUGGGUAGCAAACAGGAUUAGAUACCCCAGUAGUC